UACGUAGGUGGCGAGCGUUGUCCGGAUUUACUGGGCGUAAAGGGAGCGUAGGCGGACUUUUAAGUGAGAUGUGAAAUACCCGGGCUCAACUUGGGUGCUGCAUUUCAAACUGGAAGUCUAGAGUGCAGGAGAGGAGAAUGGAAUUCCUAGUGUAGCGGUGAAAUGCGUAGAGAUUAGGAAGAACACCAGUGGCGAAGGCGAUUCUCUGGACUGUAACUGACGCUGAGGCUCGAAAGCGUGGGGAGCAAACAGGAUUAGAUACCCA
rnacentral:rRNA from 1 species